GGCCCGCACAAGCGGUGGAGCAUGUGGUUUAAUUCGAUGCAACGCGAAGAACCUUACCUACUCUUGACAUCCAGAGAAUUUAGCAGAGAUGCUUUAGUGCCUUCGGGAACUCUGAGACAGGUGCUGCAUGGCUGUCGUCAGCUCGUGUUGUGAAAUGUUGGGUUAAGUCCCGCAACGAGCGCAACCCUUAUCCUUUGUUGCCAGCGAUUCGGUCGGGAACUCAAAGGAGACUGCCGGUGAUAAACCGGAGGAAGGUGGGGAUGACGUCAAGUCAUCAUGGCCCUUACGAGUAGGGCUACACACGUGCUACAAUGGCGUAUACAAAGAGAAGCGACCUCGCGAGAGCAAGCGGAACUCAUAAAGUACGUCGUAGUCCGGAUUGGAGUCUGCAACUCGACUCCAUGAAGUCGGAAUCGCUAGUAAUCGUAGAUCAGAAUGCUACGGUGAAUACGUUCCCGGGCCUUGUACACACCGCCCGUCACACCAUGGGAGUGGGUCGCAAAAGAAGUAGGUAGCUUAACCUUCGGGAGGGCGCUUACCACUUUGUGAUUCAUGACUGGGGUGAAGUCGUAACAAG
rnacentral:rRNA from 1 species